rnacentral:lncRNA from 1 species
GCGGGAUCCUGGUCCAGCUUGGGGUAGGGUGGGGAGGGGAGGUUCUCUGAGGAAGGAAGGCCUUCUCUGAGGAUUUUAGUGUUGCAGCUCUUGUAGGUGAUACUCAAUGAAACAGCUCUCUUAGAGAAUCUUCAGUAAAAUAGCUGCUGUGCAUACACUGUAUACAAGGGCUACAUAUGAACCUUGGAGAGUGGAGAUUUCUGGGUGAAUAUAAAAGGCGAUGGCUGAAGCUUAAGUCCUGUGAAUGCCUCAUUUGUCUGGAGAUGCGUUCCGAGAAUCUCAGACAGGAGCCUAGCAUAACUGUCUCCUGAGAGGCUCCGUCCAGUGGAUGGAAACAGAUGUAGAGACCCACAGCUGAAUCGCAGGCAGAGCUCGGGGAGUCUUGUGGAAGAGUGGGAGGAAGGACAGCACAAGAAGACCUGCAGAGUCAACUAACCUGGGCCCAUGGGGGCUUACAGAGACUGAGCCAAACAAAGAGCAUGCAUGGACUGGACAUAGGUCCCCUACACAUAUGCAGGAGAUAUGCAGCUUGGUCUUCAUGUGGGUCUUUUGUAACAACUGGAGUGGGGCCAGUCUCUGACUCUGUUGUCUGCCUUUCCAUCCCUUUCCCCUAGCUAGGCUGCCUUUCCUGGCCUCAGUGGGAGAGGAUGUGUUUAGUCCUGAUUCGACCUGAAGUGCAAAGAGGGGUUGGUAACCAAGGGGACGGGCCUUCCUUUCUCUGGGGAGGAGGGGAAGAGGCAAUGGGGAAAGGGGCAUGGGAGGAUAGGGGGGAGGGAAGCUUCAAUCAGGAUGUAAAGUGAAUAAAUAAAUUAAAAGAGAGUAAUUGUAGUUUGAAUAUUGAUAUCCAA